GAGAAACUUGAAGCAGCAUCUUCAUCUAGAAUUGAGGUGCCCAUGUGGACUCCAAAAUCCAGAUUUGAUAGUUCAAAGGCUUUUACAGGCUCUAUUGUGGAGCACUUGAGCAAUAUAGAGAAAAACUCACAAAACCAAACUGUGACCUCAUCACAGACACCUGUACGGGCUUCAAGACCAGGAUUCGACAGUUCCAAGUCUUUCACAAGUUCAAUAGUGGAGCAUAUUGACAACAUGCCAACUUCACAAGAGCAAACCGCGACUUCAUCACAGUCACCCAAUGCCCAU
rnacentral:misc_RNA from 1 species